CCUACGGGUGGCAGCAGUGGGGGAUAUUGCUCAAUGGGGGAAACCCUGAUGCAGCGAUGCCGCGUGAAUGAAGACGGCCUUCGGGUUGUUAAGUUCUGUUGCAGGGGACGAAAAUGACGGUACCCUGCAAGAAAGCUCCGGCGAACUACGUGCCAGCAGCCGCGGUAAUACGUAGGGAGCAAGCGUUGUCCGGAUUUACUGGGUGUAAAGGGUGCGUAGGCGGGAGGAUAAGUUGAAUGUGAAAUCUAUGGGUUCAACCCAUAGCUGCGUUCAAAACUGUUCUUCUUGAGUGAAGUAGAGGCAGGCGGAAUUCCUAGUGUAGCGGUGAAAUGCGUAGAUAUUAGGAGGAACACCAGUGGCGAAGGCAGCCUGCUGGGCUUUUACUGACGCUGAGGCUCGAAAGCGUGGGUAGCAAACAGGAUUAGAUACCCGAGUAGUC
rnacentral:rRNA from 1 species